AAGGUGAGAGGCAAUGUUCGAAAGGCAAUUUAGUAUUUAAUUUAAUCCACUGGGAUAAAGCGCAUCGAUUUUAUUUCAUAAGCAAUAGGAAGCCAGUGACAGUUUGGGAAACACAAUGAUAUUCUUUGUGCAGGAUGCCUUGAGUGAGUUCCUCAUAGGUGCCAUAUACUCUGCAAAGCUCUGUGGUCAGAGUUGUGUACUUCAGGAGAGUCUGGGUGAUAAAUAAAUCAAACUUCAUAUUGUCAGCAAAAAUUUCAUUAUUGAAUUAAUUUGGAAAAAUAACUUUCUGAAUUAUUUUCUGUUGACCAUAUGUUUGAUUACCCCUAUGCAUGCACCCAACCCUUCUGAACAAUACUGAGAACAAUAUCAAGAGCUGUGACUAUCCCAGGCUAACUUACCCAGGGGGCCAGAGGUGGAAGUGAACAGCCGUUUCCCCCGGUCCUUAAUUCCUGGGCAACCAACUGGGUACAAUCCAGUUAUAGUGUCUCAGCCCACAGAACAGUGCCAACAUUGGUACAACAAAACAGAAUUUGGCUUAAAGAGGGAUUUGUUCCCCCCUCCCCCAACCCCUGUUUAUGCUGGAUGAGAAAAACUAAGCAGCUUUAAGCAAC
rnacentral:lncRNA from 10 species